UCGACAUAUCCCCAAUUCCCCUCCCAUCUAACCCUAAUUCGCCUCCCCAUCCAUCCCGACAGUUGCGCAGGCGUGCGGCUGGCGGCGCGCCGCCGAGCAGGCGGGGCUUGUGGCGCCGGCCCGGCCGCGCGACUCGUGUCCUCGUGCUCGUGGUCGUGGGAUGUGGGGCGCCGCGCCGGGCGCAGGGCGGUAGGCGGCUGCGCCACUGAGGGCUGCCGGCACCUGGCCUGGCCGGCUGACCGGCUCAGCCGCGCAGGGCAGGACCGCAGAAGCAGGAGCAGGACAGCAACAGCAAGCCGCGCAGGACAGGAGCAGCACAACAGUGACAACACAAACUGAAACAUGAAGACGAAGAAGGGCCAGCUGUUGAUUUAAACUCUUUUUUGGAGAAACAAGAUGGGGCUUCAUUAAAAAAAAUUCAAUUUGCAAGCUAAGGACAAGGACAUCAUCGAUUAUUUUCAAAAUAUCAAGCGUCGAAAAGUUAAUCUCUAAAUUGAGCUAUAUCGUGGGAUGGCGCGGUUUUUGCGAUCCUGUACGCUCGGCCAUUAGAUGCAUGUAACAAACUCCCAGGAGAGGAGAAUAAAAGGAGAAGAUGAACCCAGAAAAGCUGUGCAAGUUUCAAGCAGCGCAUACUCUAUCUCAGCUAGCUGCUCUGUUUUCUGAAUUUCUUCAGUCUACUGUAGCGAAACCUACAACCGUCAGAUAACACAGCACCGGUGAGAUUGAGAGUGAAAUUGAAUGUGGUGGAGCAUAUUUCCUGACAGGUCAUUGAUCCAAAAUGUAUAUUGCUUACAUCUGCUUGCAAUCCUUCUUCACGAGCUUACCAUUUGCUUCAGAGGUUUACAUCUAUUUAUUUGAAGGGUGAGGGAGGGUUUUUGCUUCCCUCCCCAUGUUUUUCUCCUCUCUUAAUGAAAUGUUUCAGCAAUCCUCUUAUGUAUUCAACAAAAAAAAUGUUUGAUGUAAUUUUACACUUUUAUGACACGUUGUGAAAAUCUUCAAGGAAGGAAAUAGAGCUAGCUAGCCAUGCAUGCUAGGAUAAUGCACUGCAUCAUUUUCUAAGUCAAAUCAAUAUACUUAACUAACAAUCCAACAAUUUUGUAGGGAGGGGUAUAUCCUCAAUUCCCAUAUAAGAAGAUGUUAUAUGACCAAUUGUCUCAUCAAAUAAUUCUUCAUCCUCAGAUAUAGCAGAACUUCUGUAUGAUGAAUGGAUAUAUCCUUAAUACCCAGCUGACUGGUUUAAUAUUAUCCACUGGAUAUAUUAAUUUCUCACACGUGUUUUGAAAUUUAUUACGCCAAUAUAUGGUGAAGUGCCAAAAGGCGCAAUUGGUCAGGCCACAUGACUGUUUAUGUACCCAUACAGCUGCUUUUUGCCAAGCUCACCUAAUGUGCUCAUAAUUUCCUCCAUAAAUUAUAUUUUAGGCAGUAAUAAUAAUGAUAUAUUGCUUCUUCUUGAUGCUAUCCAUACCAAGCUCAUCUUGAUAAUAUCCUACCUUCUUUCACACUAUAUAUAUAGCAGAACAUCUUGCAGUAGAGAACUUGCACACAUUUUGCUCCUGCAUGCCUUCUUGCUAGCAAGUUCCCAUUGUGGCCAGGCUUCCGCCGCUGGCCUCAAUGGCCAGGGCAUAAUUCUUGACGAACUCCGCGGGGUUGGAGUCUCCCCGGUACUUAGAGAGCUUAGGUGGUCGGAAGCCUGGUGGGUACAGCUCCUCUUGUAGCUGCCACAUCAGUGGGGACUCGAGGUUUACGGCGAUGGGGGGUCCCUUCGGAGGCUAGCUUCCCUCGAUCCGGAGAUACUCCCCCAACACCCGCAAUUUUGAAGCAUCUGACAAGACCAAGGAAUGGGAAAAAUUUUGCACCUGGAAAGCAUGAUUUUGUUCUGUUCCAAGGAGGAAACUCUCCCACAAGGCCACAACGAUUGCCAAAUAAUGGAGUGCAUCUGUUCAUGCAGGAUUGACUUGGACAUCAGCCUCAAAGAGUGGUACAUGUUCCCUGCAGUGAACCUUGUCACUUUACUAUCUUAGAAUGUCAAUGUAUUGGAACAAACAUGUAACUAUGAAUGGGGAAUUGGAUACUAAAGAAAAUUUUGCCUUCUCUGCAUAGAGCAGAGAAAAAAAAAAGCAAAUUUCCGAAAAAUCAACUUGCUAUCUGCAAUCAUGUAUAGAGUAAGAUUGCAUCUUAUUGUAUGCCGGUGUUCUCUCAUAAUUAGCCAUUGAAUCAUAUUUCAGCAUCACAGAAUGGUCCAAGCAAAGAGUUCGAUGGAUCUUUUGCAGAGAAACUCCGCAAAUGUACAGAUAACAUUUAGGAAUUAGGAUCCUUGUGAUGUUGUUUGAGUGAAUGAACAGUGCAAUCAUCUUUCAGUAGUAAUACCCCUCCAUUAUUUA